GCAGUAAUGAGAAGGAGGACCCAAUGGAGGGAUGUUUCUGUCCAAAUGGAACCAUCCUUUUGUCGUCCAACUCCAAAGAAUGUGUUCCGACAUGUGAUAUCUGUCGACUGCCGAACGGAAAAUGGAGAAAGGCCAAUGAAACGUGGAUCCAGGGCUGUGACGAGUGAUCUGUGACGACGACGCCUUGGAGAUCUCCUGUCAACGCAGGACAUGUCCUGUCCCAACCGCCGCUCAGCUGUGACAGGACGGACAGGUCAAG